rnacentral:sRNA from 1 species
AUGGAAAACUCUGUGAGACAAGCCAUAUCAAUUGAAAAUCAGCCCCAAGGAGCCAGUAGCAAUGUUGUCAACAAUGUUAGUGUUCAGAAUAAGAGACGUUUUGUGAAAAAGACUAACAGUAAAUGUUACAGUUGCGGUUAUGAAGGGCACUUACGGAAUGAUCCUAGAUGUCCUGCUAAGGGGAAAAAGUGUCGUAAGUGUAAUGAAGUUGGACAUUUUGAACGACAGUGUAAAACCAAAAACUGGAGUGCUAAGGAGAAACACGGGAGAGUUCAUAACAUCACAGAGCAGCCAGAUCAAGGCGAUGAGGACAAAGCUUACACAUUUAGUGUCCGUAAUUCUGUGUUAGAUGAUGGCCUCAUUGUGAAUGUUGGGGGUGUUGACCUCAGUGUGAUUAUCGACUCAGGAGCAAGUUGUAACAUUAUUGGGAUGCCGUUAUGGAGCAGUCUGAAGGACAAGCGCAUCGAAUGUGUUUCAUCCAAAGCUGACAAGCAACUCUUUGCUUAUGGAAGUCAAGAGCCCCUAAAGGUAGCUGGCAUAUUUACAGCAACCGUGAAAUAUAACCAAACCGUUAUACCGGAUGUGGAAUUCGUGGUCAUCGCCGGGAAGGGAAAGGCCCUACUUGGUCGUGAUACAGCUCUACAGUUGGGUGUUCUACACAUCGUGCGCAGCGUUAGUAAUGCCGUCAACGCAGAUAACCGUUCAGUGUUUGAUAAGUACCCUCAGUGCUUCAAGGGGUUUGUAGCUGAAGAAGCAACACCGAUUGCUAUGACAACUCGCGACAUUGAGAGAGCGUCAGAGGAUGACCCAGAACCUUGUUCGGUUAGACAAUGUCUUGUAAAUCAGCAGUGGCAUCGCAUCGAGUUCAAGCAAUAUUUGCCAAUACGGAGCGAAUUUUGUUCGAUUGGAAAAUUUGUAUUACGAGAAGUUGUUACGUCAGUAAGUCAACCUAGUAAACCCGAACCGAUGAAGCGCACCGAGUUGCCUUCUGCGCCUUGGCAACAUCUCGCCGCAGAUCUCUUAGGUCCAUUACCGAGUAAGGAGAACAUAUUAGUACUAGUUGAUUACUAUAGUAGAAUUGCCUACCUCUUUGGGCACACUCGUGCAAAAGUCAUUGAGCACAUGGAACACCCGUGUAGAAUAUGUUGCCUCUCCGCCAUUUUAACUCCGUCUGCACCACCUAUCUGGCGGGAACAGUUCCGACAGUUCCAGAACAGCGAUUCCGAUUCGUUCGUUUUGGAUUCCGUUGAUUAUCCCUGUCGGAACUGACAAUCGAGUACGCCCUAGGAGAAAGUCCAUAAUUUUCUUAGAUAAUUGAUUUGUAUUGAAAAUUAUUUGAUACUGUAAAAAUAAAAAAACCGGACCAAGCAACUUUAAUCUUGACGAUUUAUGCAGUUCCUCAGUUUAUGUUGACUGUCUUACUGAUAUUUCCC